AAGGCAUGUGCACGCCCUGCUCAUCCACUCUCAACCUCUGUGCACUUAUUGUAGGUCGGUGGAAGAUAGAAGUGUCUCUGACGCUUUUUAUUGGAAGCCUUCCUAUGUUUUACUACAAACGCUUCAGUUUUAGAAUGUAUCUCUGCGUAUAACGCAUCUAUAUACAACUUUCAGCAACGGAUCUCUUGGCUCUCGCAUCGAUGAAGAACGCAGCGAAAUGCGAUAAGUAAUGUGAAUUGCAGAAUUCAGUGAAUCAUCGAAUCUUUGAACGCACCUUGCGCUCCUUGGUAUUCCGAGGAGCACGCCUGUUUGAGUGUCAUGGUAUUCUCAACCUUCAUAACUGUUUUUUUGUUAUCGGAGGCUUGGAUUUGGAGGUUGUGCUGGCUCUAGUUAGUCGGCUCCUCUUAAAUGUAUUAGCGUGAACGUUUACGGAUCGCUAUCAGUGUGAUAAUUAUCUGCGCUGUUAGUGUUGAAGUAUUGUUAGUGUCAUGCUUCUAACUGUCCUUCGCUGGACAAUUCACUUGACAUCUGGCCUCAAAUCAGGCGGGACUACCCGCUGAACUUAAGCAUAUCAAUAAGCGGAGGA
rnacentral:rRNA from 1 species